AUGAGCAAAAUCUCAACUUUAUUAGAAGAGACGCAUUUAUUAGAUAAAAAGCCAAUGCAUGCUUUUACAGUAUGGAAAUUGGUGAUUUAUAAUAACUUGGCAAAUCGCAAAGUGAAAACAGGCGAUAAAUCAUUCAAGUUUCUGACCUAUCAGCUUUCGACGGUAUGGUAUUGGCUUACCGUGGCAGUGACGGUUAACGGGGGAUUAGGGUUCGAUUCCGGAGAGGGAGCCUGAGAAACGGCUACCACAUCUAAGGAAGGCAGCAGGCGCGCAAAUUACCCAAUUCUAACAGUUUGAGAGAGGUAGUAACAAGAAAUAACAAUACAAGGCAAUUAAAAUGUUUUGUAAUUGGAAUGAUAGAAAUUUAAACCCUUUUUAAAGUAUCAAUUGGAGGGCAAGUCUGGUGCCAGCAGCCGCGGUAAUUCCAGCUCCAAUAGCGUAUAUUAAAAUUGUUGCAGUUAAAAAGCUCGUAGUUGAAGUUCUGCUAAAAGUAACCGGUCUGCUUUUAAUAAAAGUGGUAUCUUGGUGUGUAUUUAGCAAUGAUGUCCUUUGAAGUGUUUUUUACUUUAUUGUAAUAAAGCAUAUUCAGGACUUUUACUUUGAGAAAAUUAGAGUGUUUCUAGCAGGCCGACGCUUUGAAUACUGCAGCAUGGAAUAAUAAG
rnacentral:rRNA from 1 species